GCCCGGAUGGCGAAACUGGCAGACGCGCUACAUUCAGGGUGUAGUCUCCACUAAGGAGGUGCAGGUUCAAGUCCUGUUCCGGGCA
rnacentral:tRNA from 1 species